GAUGAACGCUGGCGGCGUGCCUAAUACAUGCAAGUCGAGCGAACAGACGAGGAGCUUGCUCCUCUGACGUUAGCGGCGGACGGGUGAGUAACACGUGGAUAACCUACCUAUAAGACUGGGAUAACUUCGGGAAACCGGAGCUAAUACCGGAUAAUAUAUUGAACCGCAUGGUUCAAUAGUGAAAGACGGUUUUGCUGUCACUUAUAGAUGGAUCCGCGCCGCAUUAGCUAGUUGGUAAGGUAACGGCUUACCAAGGCAACGAUGCGUAGCCGACCUGAGAGGGUGAUCGGCCACACUGGAACUGAGGCACGGUCCAGACUCCUAAGGGAGGCAGCAGUAGGGAAUCUUCCGCAAUGGGCGAAAGCCUGACGGAGCAACGCCGCGUGAGUGAUGAAGGUCUUCGGAUCGUAAAACUCUGUUAUUAGGGAAGAACAAAUGUGUAAGUAACUAUGCACGUCUUGACGGUACCUAAUCAGAAAGCCACGGCUAACUACGUG
rnacentral:rRNA from 1 species